rnacentral:rRNA from 1 species
UGGGGAAUAUUGGGCAAUGGGCGGAAGCCUGACCCAGCGACGCCGCGUGGGGGAAGAAGUCUUUCGGGAUGUAAACCCUUGUUGUACGGGACGAAGGAAGUGACGGUACCGUACGAGGAAGCCCCGGCAAACUACGUGCCAGCAGCCGCGGUAAUACGUAGGGGGCGAGCGUUGUCCGGAAUCACUGGGCGUAAAGCGCACGUAGGCGGGCUGUCAAGUCGGCCGUGAAAGGCAUGGGCUCAACCUGUGCAUGUCGGUCGAUACUGGCGGGCUGGAGCAUAGGGGAGAGAACUGGAAUUUCCAGUGUAGCGGUGAAAUGCGUAGGUAUUGGGAAGAACAACGGUGGCGAAGGCGACUUGCUGGCCAGCAACUGACGCUGAGGCGCGAAAGCCAGGGGAGCAAACGG